AACCCCUUUUCGGGCGGACGAAGCCAAUGACGGUACGCCCGGAAGAAGGCCCGGCUAACUACGUGCCAGCAGCCGCGGUAAGACGUAGGGGCCGAGCGUUGUCCGGAGUUACUGGGCGUAAAGCGCGCGCAGGCGGUCGUGCACGUCGGGUGUGAAAGCCCCCCGCUCAACGGGGGAGGGUCAUUCGAAACGGCGCGACUGGAGGCAGGGAGAGGUCGGUGGAAUUCCCGGUGUAGUGGUGAAAUGCGUAGAGAUCGGGAGGAACACCAGUGGCGAAGGCGGCCGACUGGACCUGGCCUGACGCUGAGGCGCGAAGGCGUGGGGAGCGAACGGGAUUAGAUACCCCGGUAGUCCACGCAGUAAACGAUGUGCACUAGGUGUGGCGGGUGUAGACCCCCGCCGUGCCGGCGCUAACGCAGUAAGUGCACCGCCUGGGGAGUACGGCCGCAAGGCUAAAACUCAAAGGAAUUGACGGGGGCCCGCACAAGCAGCGGAGCGUGUGGUUUAAUUCGACGCAACGCGCAGAACCUUACCAGGGCUUGACGUCCGCGGAACCCCGGUGAAAGCCGGGGGUGCCCUUCGGGGAGCCGCGAGACAGGUGUUGCAUGGCUGUCGUCAGC
rnacentral:rRNA from 1 species